CUAAUUUUCCCCCCUAAAAUUUGUAUCCUCAAAACACCCUUUAGGUGUUUCUAUCCGCCACCACGCCUUCAUCAUCAUCAUCGUUCCCUACUUUUGCUACUUUAAGCUCCUCUUCUUCUCAACCACCGUCUUUGUUUUUCUCUUGUUUAUCCAGUCGGUGUAUUUUUCAGGAAAAUCCAAAUUUUUCCGAAAGAUUUCCCGACCGACGAUUAUUCCAUCUUUAUCUUUUCGUCAAAAUCUCGAAAAUCAAAACAAUUCCGGUGUUUUUGUUUUUGAAGCUAAAGAGUCAUCUUGUUUUCCUUCUCCUAAUCGCUUGAUUUUGCCGCUAAACCUCUUCUGAUUUUGCAGCUAGGUACACUGUGAGAUCUUUUGGAAUCAGGCGUAAUGAGAAGAUUGCUUGCUACGUGACUCUGAAUAUUUCAAGUACAAAAGAUGAAAAAUAAAGAAGAAUCGUUUCAAGUACUCAUCUAUCUUUUUUUUCCUUCUUACUUUCACUUUUUAGGGUCUGAAAUUUCUUGAACUUUUUUCAAUUUAGUCGAAUCUGAACUGCACUAUGGAUGCUUAUCUGUAUGCAAAUCAAAAUAUUAUAGUCUAUAAGUUUAAAUCGGUAUAAAUAAAUAUAAUUUUCCUUUUAGCUCGUUUCUGUUUGCCUUAUAAAUAAAUAUAAUCGGUAUAUUUAUAAAUAAAUAUAAAUCGGUGUACACGGGAUCUACCAUAGUUGGCGCAGGAAUACCUUUGCUGUUAUUAUCAGAGGUCCACAAAUUGUUUUGCCUUUGUUUCGUUUUUCGUUCAUCUAUUCCAACAACAUAUUGAACAAUAAUUGCUUGCGUCACAGUUAUUUCCAAUAAAUGUAAAAGGUUCAGCAGGAAGCAUAUGUAAUUUUAUGGGCAGUUUCAUUGGUUGGGUUGUUGCAUACUACUUUAACUUCCUACGUGAAUGGAGCUCAACAGGGACAUUCUUUAUAGUUUCAGCCUUUUGCUGUGCAAACUUCAUCCUAUUAGCAAUAAUGGUGCUCGAGACUAAAGGACGAACACUGGAGGAAAUACAAGCAUCAGUUAGUCAUUCUUCAGUUUGACAUACCAUCAGCAAUUUGCUUUAAAAUUUGAUCUGUCUUGCUGGGUUUUUGUGCUGUGUCUUUGCAGAGUAUCGGGUAGUCCUUUCAAUUCUUAGCCAUGGCAGAACAGACGGAGAAAGCAUUUCUCAAACACCCCAAGGUGUUUUUAAGGUGAACUAGCUUCUUCCAUGUCUUUAUUAAUUCUUGGUUUUGUUGAUUUCAUUUUUAGAUUAUUGUUUUCCCCCCCUGUUAAAUUAUGAAUCCAUCUGUUACAAAUCUGUUUUGCAUUGUUCAUCAAAUAACAUGCACAAAUAAUAUUAUUUGUAUAUAUUUUGAGGAAAAUUAUAAUAUUAUUAUAUAUAAUCAAUGCAAAAUUUUUAAGGCACCUUAUUAAAUACGAAAUUUAUAGGCACGAAACUAAGAAUGAUUGAAGCUUCUGCAAACUUUUUUGUUGUCAACAUGGCGACUUUAGCUUUCUCAGCAUCAAUAAUUACUGAACUGUUAACCUUAAUCUCCUCGAAAUCACAUUCCUUAGCAAGCUUCAUAACUAGCUUAACGACACACUAAUCUCUUAAAAGCAAAGAAUUUAAUUGAAGUUCAUAUUUUUGCAAGUUAAAUUUAGUAGAGUCUGUCAUCAUUCAUUGUGUGGUUAUUUGUGUUUUUCGGCCACUGUAUGUUGUUUUUGCUUUUUCCUUUUGUGGUGCUUUGUCGCACAGCACUUGGGCUACAUAUCCCCACGAGUUUGAAGACUUCGCUACUAAAAUUCUGUGGAAGGCAAAUUUCUCUAUAAAUUAUGAAAUUGUUCUAAAAGAAAAGAAAAAAGCUUAAAAUGUGAAAAAAAAGAACUCAUCAAACUGUUCUUUUUUGAACAUUAAAUACCUCUGCUAGUAAUUUUGGAUACCGCUUCUUUGCUUCCAAUCAUACCUUGUUUAUUUCUAUUCCAAUUAGAUUACAUGUUUUUUAUUACUUCUUAUCUACAUGUUUUUUAUUCAAUUAUUGGAUAUUCUGUUUGAUUCCGUGUUAAAAUGUGGAAGGUGUUACUGGAUUAUGGAUUGGCAUUCUGUAACUAUUUUCCUUGACAAACUUAGAAAUAAAGCAAUCACAUUCACUAUUUUUCAAGCCACUUGCAUCUUACUCCUCUAUGUUGAAUCAAAUUGAGGAAUUGCUAAGUGCUAGAGACUAUAAAGCUGCCAUGCAGCUAUCAGAAAAUCUAAGAAGCUUGGCACUGAAGGGACUUCAUUAUUUUCAAACUUUUGAGGAUUCACUUCGGCUUUCUCUUCUGUUUUUGCUUCUUUGAUUCAGCUAAUAGAGCAUGUAGAUACCAAAUUUGCAGUUCAAAUUCGAAGUCAUGCUCAAAAGUUUUUCUCUAAGGCUCAUUGCUUUGAGUUCAUUACAAGAUUUCCUUAAUUAAGUAAAUGUAUUGUAUAUUUUAUUACCUUGCAUAUGUAUUAUUUAUUUUAGUUUUGAUUCUAAAUUUUUAUUUUUA